rnacentral:rRNA from 1 species
UACGUAGGGUGCAAGCGUUGUCCGGAAUUAUUGGGCGUAAAGAGCUCGUAGGCGGUUUGUCGCGUCUGCUGUGAAAACCCAGGGCUUAACCCUGGGCCUGCAGUGGGUACGGGCAAACUAGAGUGCGGUAGGGGAGAUCGGAAUUCCUGGUGUAGCGGUGAAAUGCGCAGAUAUCAGGAGGAACACCGGUGGCGAAGGCGGAUCUCUGGGCCGACACUGACGCUGAGGAGCGAAAGCGUGGGGAGCGAACAGG